rnacentral:rRNA from 1 species
AGCGGCGAAAGGGAUAGUAACACGUAGAUCACGUGCCCUCGGGUCAGGGAUAGCGUCGGGAAACUGACGGUAAUACCAGAUAAUGUCUCCGGACCAAAGAUUUAUUGCCCGAGGAGCGGUCUGCGUCCUAUUAGCUAGUUGGUGGGGUAAUAGCCUACCAAGGCGAAGAUGGGUAGCGGGUGUGAGAGCACGACCCGCAUCACUGGGACUGAGAUACUGCCCAGACACCUACGGGUGGCUGCAGUCGAGAAUCUUCCGCAAUGGACGAAAGUCUGACGGAGCGACGCCGCGUGCGGGAUGAAGGCCCUCGGGUUGUAAACCGCUGUCGUAGGGGAGCAAAUUUUGAGCGAUCCUAGGAGGAAGCACCGGCUAAACUCGUGCCAGCAGCCGCGGUAAUACGAGUGGUGCAAACGUUAUUCGGAAUCACUGGGCUUAAAGGGUGCGUAGGCGGCCAUGAAGGUCUGAUGUGAAAUACCACGGCUCAACCGUGGAAUGGCAUUGGAAACCACAUGGCUGGAGUGAGACAGAGGUGAGCGGAACAGAUGGUGGAGCGGUGAAAUGCGUUGAUAUCAUCUGGAACACCGGUGGCGAAAGCGGCUCACUGGGUCUUUACUGACGCUGAGGCACGAAAGCCAGGGGAGCAAACGGGAUUAGAUACCCCGGUAGUCCUGGCUGUAAACGAUGAGUACUAGUCCGAGGG